rnacentral:rRNA from 1 species
AUACGGAGGAUCCGAGCGUUAUCCGGAUUUAUUGGGUUUAAAGGGUGCGUAGGCGGCCUUUUAAGUCAGCGGUGAAAGUCUGUGGCUCAACCAUAGAAUUGCCGUUGAAACUGGGAGGCUUGAGUAUGUUUGAGGCAGGCGGAAUGCGUGGGGUAGCGGUGAAAUGCUUAGAUAUCACGCAGAACCCCGAUUGCGAAGGCAGCCUGCCAAGCCAUGACUGACGCUGAUGCACGAAAGCGUGGGGAUCAAACAGGAUUAGAUACCCUGGUAGUCCACGCAGUAAACGAUGAUCACUAGCUGUUUGCGAUACAGUGUAAGCGGCACAGCGAAAGCGAUAAGUAUUCCACCUGGGGAGUACGCCGGCAACGGUGAAACUUAAAUGAAUUGACGGGG